UUGAUCUGAUAAUCUUCUGUUAUCUGGGGUUUAUUAUUUGUGUGCUACGAGAAACUAAUAAAUGGAUUUGUGGCUUCUAAAUAGACUUUUAUGUACAGUUUCCAGGGAAAUCAAAAAUUUUAAAUAACUGCAGUUGCAGCUGCUUUAAUCACUUUAAAAGCAUUUGUUCUAUAUGCCAUUACCAAACACAAUUUUCUGUAGUGCCUGGAUGAUCGUAGCACAAUUCAUGUUCUUGCAAUUUGAAAUUUGUAGGCCCCCAAUUUUGGAGGUCCCGUACUUGGAAAUGUUAUUAGCAAGACAAUUGAAUAAUCCUGAGAUAUAUUAUUGAAGUUUGAAAUCUGUAGCCUUACAGAAAAAGAUUUUCUCCAAGUGUUUCCCACAAACACUCCAUUAAUCCCAAUAGUUUAAAAACCCUUUUACGAAUGAUGUGGAAAAGAAGUAACACAAGGUUUUAGAACAAUAAACUCUUUAAGGAGUUGAAUUUAAACAACAAAGCUCAAAUGCAAAAGAAUAUGGAAGUUGAAGCUCAAAACUUGAAAGAUCUUGAUGGGUAUUACAUUUAAUCCUUCAUCCCAUGUUUGUAGACAUGUAAAAAUCUUGUUUUUAUUGCCCUUCAUCUCAUUUUGGUCGUUCCAGUGCAGUAAAUGCGUCUCUAGUAGUUGAAACGAAGUAGCUGUUGCAUAUUUUAGAAUUUAAAUUUCGCGACGAAGGAGUCAACUUAUUUUGAAUCUAGGGAUUCGAUUUAUUUGGUCAAGGAGUUGACUAAUCCUUUUAUCUGCACGACAACUGGAGUUCAGGGUCGAAUCAUUUAUUUGAGGUCGACUCAAGACCUUCAAUGUUUUUAAGAUUUUCACGUGUUAAGCAUCUCAAACUCAUCCAAAACCCUUUCUAACUCCAAAAUAAAUAAUGAACAUUUAAUCACAAAACAAAUAUCAAAGACUUAUUUUGGAGCUUUUUAAUCUCAAUCAUUACAGCAGGAAAAAUGUAAAACUUUUAAAACACUUGUACUCCUUUUGUAAUGAAUUAUUCAUCAAAUACUAAUGACAAAAUCAUGUUACAUUCUCAUAUUUCAUUAAGCUAUCCAAUACCUAACACCAAAGGAUAUUGACAAUUCAAAGUACAAAUUUAUCAUUUGCUAGCCACUCACUAAUUUUGUAUUGUGAAAUAUCAAACAUAUAUCACUGUAAAACACAACCAACAAAAGCAUCAUAGACAAUAUCAAAACUAAACCAUAGGUCUAAUUUCUCUUUCAUUUGAAGCAUUUUGAGGCUUCUUGAAUUCAACCCUUACUCUUUUGUUAUGUUUACAGUUAAAAAUAGAAUACAAGUAUCUUGGCAGACUAACCCCAAGGGGUUGGCCUAGUGGUCAAGACCUGAGCCUAGGGUGUGCUCCCUUCAAAAUCUACUAAGUGCAAACAAUUUCUCGAGACCAGUUCAUAUGGGACUUUGCCCGACCCCCCACUAGUGGAUGGUGAGAUUGGUCUUCCGGAGUAGUCGGUCUAAUGGGCCACAUGCUGAGUUAUCAAAAAAAAAAAAAAAAUUAUCUUGGCAGACUUGUAAUUAUUCUAAUUUGUAUUAUGCUUUUCGUUUGUUAGUGCAUAACACAGGUAGGCACUCAGAUCAAACUUAUUCAAAAGAGAUCGUAUACCACAAUUUGAACGAUUAUGGUUUAUGCCUUUGUUUUUCGGUUCUAAAAAUAAAAAAAUUCUAGCGACCUUGCCCUAUCUCUUCCCUCCCCAUUCACACCUCAUGGUUUCAAAGCAUUGAAAUAAGACAAAACAAGGAGGGUGUGGAACUACAUGUAAAGUGAUACAGUCCAUACCUAAUAUUAGGAAGAUAACCUCUCUAGUAUAUUUGGGACUAGUUAAGUUUGAGAUAAUAUUAUAGUGUUAAAGAUAUCAGAAUAUAUGAAGAUACAUAACUGAAGGGAUUUGAUUGUAUCUCCCACUAUAUAUAUGGUGUACCAUGUAAUCAAGAGGAUUAACUAGUGUGAAUAAAAGAUGUAGCCCAUAGGGCUUUGUAUGUGUGGACGUAGGCCAAGAUUGACUGAACCACAUUAACUUUUUGUGUUCUUUCUUCUCUCUUUUCUAUUUUUAUUAUCUCUUCAUAUUCAACCUUCUUGUCAUAUUACCAAUAUCAACUAUUAACACCUACCUUCACAUGCUUCUCAUAUUUCUGAACUUGGAGUUAUAUUAUUUAGUUUAGUGAUCUCUAAAAAAU